AGAGUUUGAUCCUGGCUCAGGAUGAACGCUAGCUACAGGCUUAACACAUGCAAGUCGAGGGGCAUCAGGAAGAAAGCUUGCUUUCUUUGCUGGCGACCGGCGCACGGGUGAGUAACACGUAUCCAACCUGCCCUUUACUCGGGGAUAGCCUUUCGAAAGAAAGAUUAAUACCCGAUAGCAUAAUGAUUCCGCAUGGUUUCAUUAUUAAAGGAUUCCGGUAAAGGAUGGGGAUGCGUUCCAUUAGGUUGUUGGUGAGGUAACGGCUCACCAAGCCUUCGAUGGAUAGGGGUUCUGAGAGGAAGGUCCCCCACAUUGGAACUGAGACACGGUCCAAACUCCUACGGGAGGCAGCAGUGAGGAAUAUUGGUCAAUGGGCGCUAGCCUGAACCAGCCAAGUAGCGUGAAGGAUGAAGGCUCUAUGGGUCGUAAACUUCUUUUAUAUAAGAAUAAAGUGCAGUAUGUAUACUGUUUUGUAUGUAUUAUAUGAAUAAGGAUCGGCUAACUCCGUGCCAGCAGCCGCGGUAAUACGGAGGAUCCGAGCGUUAUCCGGAUUUAUUGGGUUUAAAGGGAGCGUAGGUGGACUGGUAAGUCAGUUGUGAAAGUUUGCGGCUCAACCGUAAAAUUGCAGUUGAUACUGUCAGUCUUGAGUACAGUAGAGGUGGGCGGAAUUCGUGGUGUAGCGGUGAAAUGCUUAGAUAUCACGAAGAACUCCGAUUGCGAAGGCAGCUCACUGGACUGCAACUGACACUGAUGCUCGAAAGUGUGGGUAUCAAACAGGAUUAGAUACCCUGGUAGUCCACACAGUAAACGAUGAAUACUCGCUGUUUGCGAUAUACAGUAAGCGGCCAAGCGAAAGCAUUAAGUAUUCCACCUGGGGAGUACGCCGGCAACGGUGAAACUCAAAGGAAUUGACGGGGGCCCGCACAAGCGGAGGAACAUGUGGUUUAAUUCGAUGAUACGCGAGGAACCUUACCCGGGCUUAAAUUGCAGUGGAAUGAUGUGGAAACAUGUCAGUGAGCAAUCACCGCUGUGAAGGUGCUGCAUGGUUGUCGUCAGCUCGUGCCGUGAGGUGUCGGCUUAAGUGCCAUAACGAGCGCAACCCUUAUCUUUAGUUACUAACAGGUCAUGCUGAGGACUCUGGAGAGACUGCCGUCGUAAGAUGUGAGGAAGGUGGGGAUGACGUCAAAUCAGCACGGCCCUUACGUCCGGGGCUACACACGUGUUACAAUGGGGGGUACAGAAGGCAGCUAGCGGGUGACCGUAUGCUAAUCCCAAAAGCCUCUCUCAGUUCGGAUCGAAGUCUGCAACCCGACUUCGUGAAGCUGGAUUCGCUAGUAAUCGCGCAUCAGCCACGGCGCGGUGAAUACGUUCCCGGGCCUUGUACACACCGCCCGUCAAGCCAUGGGAGCCGGGGGUACCUGAAGUACGUAACCGCAAGGAUCGUCCUAGGGUAAAACUGGUGACUGGGGCUAAGUCGUAACAAGGUAGCCGUACCGGAAGGUGCGGCUG
rnacentral:rRNA from 1 species